ACCAGCCGUUAAGUUCCUGACGCGUAUUCGUUCAUGAACUGCGGAGCGCCAGACUGCCUUCCACAUCUUCUUUGCUCACGCACAUACCUACGUGCAAGAGAGAAGGCGCGUGAGGGUGAAGACACCGAUCAUGUACCCUCUACAGGUGCCAAAUGGGCAGACGAAAACGCCGCCGCCCAAAGGGCCACCACGAAACUCCUGAACUCCAAGAACCCAGUAAGAAGACCUGCUGAAUUAAGGAGCUACAGCCCAGCAGCCUGUUCGAAACCAGGUUUAUCAAGGUCGAUACCUG